rnacentral:rRNA from 1 species
GACGAACGCUGGCGGCGUGCUUAACACAUGCAAGUCGAACGGAAAGGCCCUGCUUUUGUGGGGUGCUCGAGUGGCGAACGGGUGAGUAACACGUGAGUAACCUGCCCUUGACUUUGGGAUAACUUCAGGAAACUUGGGCUCAUACCGGAUAGGAGCUCCUGCUGCAUGGUGGGGGUUGGAAAGUUUCGGCGGUUGGGGAUUGACUCGCGGAUUAUCAGCUUGUUUGUGGGGUAGUGGCUUACCAAGGAUUUGCCGGGUAGCCGGCCUGGGAGGUUGACCGGCAAAAUUGGGACUGAGAUACGGCACAGAAUCCAACGGGAGGCAGCAGUGGGGAAUAUUGCACAAUGGGCGGAAGGAUGAUGCAGCAACGCCGCGUGGGGGAUGACGGCCUUCGGGUUGUAAACCGCUUUAGACUGUGACGAAGCGUGAGUGACGGUAAUGGGUAAAGAAGCACCGGCUAACUACGUG